rnacentral:rRNA from 1 species
CCUACGGGGGGCAGCAGUGAGGAAUAUUGGUCAAUGGACGAGAGUCUGAACCAGCCAAGUAGCGUGAAGGAUGACUGCCCUAUGGGUUGUAAACUUCUUUUAUAUGGGAAUAAAAUGUUCCACGUGUGGGAUUUUGUAUGUACCAUAUGAAUAAGGAUCGGCUAACUCCGUGCCAGCAGCAGCGGUAAUACGGAGGAUCCGAGCGUUAUCCGGAUUGAUUGGGUUUAAAGGGAGCGUAGGUGGAUUGUUAAGUCAGUUGUGAAAGUUUGCGGCUCAACCGUAAAAUUGCAGUUGAAACUGGCAGUCUUGAGUACAGUAGAGGUGGGCGGAAUUCGUGGUGUAGCGGUGAAAUGCUUAGAUAUCACGAAGAACUCCGAUUGCGAAGGCAGCUCACUGGACUGCAACUGACACUGAGGCUCGAAAGUGUGGGUAUCAAACAGGAUUAGAUACCCGUGUAGUC